rnacentral:rRNA from 1 species
AUUGAACGCUGGCGGCAGGCCUAACACAUGCAAGUCGAACGGUAACAGGAAGCAGCUUGCUGCUUUGCUGACGAGUGGCGGACGGGUGAGUAAUGUCUGGGAAACUGCCUGAUGGAGGGGGAUAACUACUGGAAACGGUAGCUAAUACCGCAUAACGUCGCAAGACCAAAGAGGGGGACCUCCGGGCCUCUUGCCAUCGGAUGUGCCCAGAUGGGAUUAGCUUGUUGGUGGGGUAACGGCUCACCAAGGCGACGAUCCCUAGCUGGUCUGAGAGGAUGACCAGCCACACUGGAACUGAGACACGGUCCAGACUCCUACGGGAGGCAGCAGUGGGGAAUAUUGCACAAUGGGCGCAAGCCUGAUGCAGCCAUGCCGCGUGUAUGAAGAAGGCCUUCGGGUUGUAAAGUACUUUCAGCGGGGAGGAAGGGAGUAAAGUUAAUACCUUUACUCAUUGACGUUACCCGCAGAAGAAGCACCGGCUAACUCCGUG